rnacentral:rRNA from 1 species
UAAGGAAUAUUGGACAAUGGGGGAAACCCUGAUCCAGCCAUGCCGCGUGAAUGAAGAAGGCCUUAGGGUUGUAAAGUUCUUUUAGCUGUGACGAUAAUGACGGUAACAGCAGAAAAAGCUCCGGCUAACUCCGUGCCAGCAGCCGCGGUAAUACGGAGGGAGCGAGCGUUGUUCGGAAUCACUGGGCGUAAAGCGUGCGCAGGCGGCUUGACAAGUCGGAAGUGAAAGCCCGGGGCUUAACCUCGGAAUUGCUUUCGAAACUGUCAGGCUAGAGUCCCGGAGAGGUAAGCGGAAUUCCGAGUGUAGAGGUGAAAUUCGUAGAUAUUCGGAGGAACACCAGUGGCGUAAGCGGCUUACUGGACGGGUACUGACGCUCAGGCACGAAAGCGUGGGGAGCAAA